rnacentral:rRNA from 1 species
UACAAAAAAUGUAAAUAAAUUUUAUUAGUUAAUAAUUAAAUGUAUUAAUUUGAAAUAAAAUUAUAUUUAUUAAGUGAAAUUUUAAAUAUAAAAUUAAUUUUUAAUAAAUAUUUUGUUAUUAUGAAAUUUAUUUUUAAACUA